GACGAACGCUGGCGGCGCGCCUAACACAUGCAAGUCGAACGGAGCUUAGAGAGCUUGCUUUUUAAGCUUAGUGGCGAACGGGUGAGUAACGCGUGAGUAACCUGCCCUAGAGUGGGGGACAACAGUUGGAAACGACUGCUAAUACCGCAUAAGCCCACGGUACCGCAUGGUACUGAGGGAAAAGGAUUUAUUCGCUUUAGGAUGGACUCGCGUCCAAUUAGCUAGUUGGUGAGGUAACGGCCCACCAAGGCGACGAUUGGUAGCCGGACUGAGAGGUUGAACGGCCACAUUGGGACUGAGACACGGCCCAGACUCCUACGGGAGGCAGCAGUGGGGGAUAUUGCACAAUGGGGGAAACCCUGAUGCAGCGACGCCGCGUGGAGGAAGAAGGUUUUCGGAUUGUAAACUCCUGUCGUUAGGGACGAUAAUGACGGUACCUAACAAGAAAGCACCGGCUAACUACGUGCCAGCAGCCGCGGUAAAACGUAGGGUGCAAGCGUUGUCCGGAAUUACUGGGUGUAAAGGGAGCGCAGGCGGGAAGACAAGUUGGAAGUGAAAACCAUGGGCUCAACCCAUGAAUUGCUUUCAAAACUGUUUUUCUUGAGUAGUGCAGAGGUAGAUGGAAUUCCCGGUGUAGCGGUGGAAUGCGUAGAUAUCGGGAGGAACACCAGUGGCGAAGGCGGUCUACUGGGCACCAACUGACGCUGAGGCUCGAAAGCAUGGGUAGCAAACAGGAUUAGAUACCCUGGUAGUCCAUGCCGUAAACGAUGAUUACUAGGUGUUGGGGGAUUGACCCCCUCAGUGCCGCAGUUAACACAAUAAGUAAUCCACCUGGGGAGUACGACCGCAAGGUUGAAACUCAAAGGAAUUGACGGGGGCCCGCACAAGCAGUGGAGUAUGUGGUUUAAUUCGAAGCAACGCGAAGAACCUUACCAGGUCUUGACAUCCGAUGCAUAGCACAGAGAUGUGUGAAAUCCUUCGGGACAUCGAGACAGGUGGUGCAUGGUUGUCGUCAGCUCGUGUCGUGAGAUGUUGGGUUAAGUCCCGCAACGAGCGCAACCCUUAUUGCCAGUUACUACGUUAAGAGGACUCUGGCGAGACUGCCGUUGACAAAACGGAGGAAGGUGGGGAUGACGUCAAAUCAUCAUGCCCUUAUGACCUGGGCUACACACGUACUACAAUGGCGUUAAACAAAGAGAAGCAAGACCGCGAGGUGGAGCGAAAACUCAAAAACAACGUCUCUAGUUCAGAUUGCUGGCUGCAAACUCGCUCUGCAUGAAGUUCGGAAAUUGCUAGUAAUCGCGGGAUCAGCUGGCCGCGGUGAAUACGUUUCCCGGGCCU
rnacentral:rRNA from 1 species